rnacentral:sRNA from 1 species
AAAAGCACCAGAAGUAAGCAGAAGACUCACUCACCCCAGACAGAGCCCCAGGGCAUGGUCUUUGACACCACAGAACAAUCCCAGAAAGAACUGGACUUGAUAGAGAAUGGGGAACAGAAAUCUGAGCAAAGGGCUUGUCUGUGACACAAUGAGGGUCACUGGAGAGAAUAAAUAACAAGCCUCCGUUGAACUCAUGUCUUUACUGGUGAGGACUGUUGGAGUGUGGCACCAUUCUCCGCCUCUGGGCCCCUCUCUUCUGUACGCCUCAUUCAUUCUAUCUGUGAAACUUCUAUUUUGUAAUACUCCAGUUCUGAAAGCCCUCCUGGUACCAGAACCUGUGUGUCUCCUGGAGAUGGGGCCUCAAGCAACUCUACUCUGUAUGAUAUGAGACGAAGUCCUGGGAGAGACAUCUCAACAGUGUAAGAAGCAGACAAAAUUUGCCUGAAUUGGGACAACCACCCUGGCAGCUCUGCAGAGCUGUUGAUGUUGUGUCUGGAUGGCAGGCAUUGUGGGACAGUAGAACACGCCAUGACAAAAAGGUGAGCUUCCCUUACCAAGGGAGAGAGCUAUCAUUCACUGUGAAGGAAAUUGCUAUUGUUUGCUUUCAGUGUGGCCAGCAAGCCUUUGUUGUACUUAGAUCUUUACAGGUGAGGACUGUUUGAAGCGAUGCUGAGCUUAGCACAGUCUUCUGUAAAGGCGGAAAAUCAUUUUGGCAGUAAAGCAGUAAGAGUGGCAGCUGUGUGCCAUAUUCCUUCAGCUGAGAGAAUGGCCUGAUUCUGUCUCAUGUGUGUCUAGAGGGUAAUAUUCUCUACCCACUCUCGUUUUCAUUGUGUUGGGACAACUGGCUUUGAUAUAACCUAUUGUAGUGGUUCUGUGUUUCCAGGGCCCUGGUCUCAAUUUUGCUCCAGACCUCUUAUAUAAUUCAGGAAGAAGGAUUGCAGAGA